AUUUUUGUUAAAAGGGAGUAGCUGGCUAUACGCAGAUGAAGUCAACAUACUGGCUUAGGCCUGGCUUCAUCGUUGGUAUGAACAUACCAAU
rnacentral:sRNA from 2 species